GGUCUGAUGGCCGAGUGGCUAGAGCUCGGUAAGGUUUCGGGCUCGAGUCCCGGCGAUGCUAUGGAUGUUUGUAGCGGUUCGGAAUCCACUUUAAACCA